rnacentral:misc_RNA from 1 species
GACCCUUGUAGAGGUUGGCAUGAUGCUCAGGGGUAUGGGAUUUGCCAAAGACACUCCGAUAUAUUUGGCUUCUGGGAAGAUUUACCAGGCAGAUAGAUAUCUAGAACCUCUGCGGAAGAUGUUUCCCCUCCUACAAACCAAGGAGACCUUGGCAACCAAAGAUGAACUUGCGCCAUUUGAGGGUUAUUCAUCAAGACUAGCCGCUGUGGACUACCUAGUAUGCUUGUUUAGUGAAGUAUUUGUAACCACUCAAGGGGGAAACUUCCCUCAUUUUUUGAUCGGUCAUAGAAGGUACCUUUUCAAUGGACAUGCCAAGACUAUCAAACCUGAUAAAAUCAAGCUUGUAACUUUAUUGCAAAA